UUUCCGUAGGUGAACCUGCGGAAGGAUCAUUAUCGUAGGGCUUCGGCCCUGCCGAGAUAGAACCCUUGCCUUUUUGAGUACCUUUCGUUUCCUCGGCAGCCUCGGCUGCCAAUGGGGACCCCAAAAAACACUUUGCAGUACCUGUAACAGUCUGAACAAACAAACAAAAAUUAAAACUUUCAACAACGGAUCUCUUGGCUCUC
rnacentral:misc_RNA from 1 species